GCAUUAAUGGGGUAGUGGUAACCUGGGUCGUUGCCAUAUAGUGGCAUACGGUGAAUUCGACCCGCCGGGGGUUCGAUUCCCCCUUAAUGCA